rnacentral:tRNA from 1 species
GCCAGUGUAGCAUAGUGGUUUGAGUGUUGGACUACGGCUCUGGAGACCAGGGUUUAAUUCCCAGCUCAGCUA